AUCUUCUCAUAGUUCAUAAGUGUGAUUAUGGGUUUUUACAUGCAUGUGUGAGAUGUGCUUUCCUCAAAUUUUGUUACAAUGUUGGCAUAUUAUACAUCUGGCA
ensembl:snoRNA